GGCUGAACACCUGCUGAAACUCUUUUAGAAAUUCCUCAAAAGUGCAACCAUAAUCAGUGGGCGAGGGGAACCUGGCCUCGGCCCAUCUCAGAGCUUGGCCCGACAAAAGAGAGAGGACAAAAUCUCUCUGGCGUCGGUGGACGGAUCUCCGAAAAUGCGGAAUGGGCUGGAGGAUCCGGAGCCGGAGCCGGAGCCGGAGCCGGGGAAAUCUGCUGAGGGUUAUUGCUCCAGGAACUGCAGCUUUCGGGGAAUGCGGCAAACUACGGAGACAACAGAGAGAUGGUGAGUUCGAGGGCGUCGGAAAAAAGGGGUGAGUGAAUGACACGGACUAAUCUUACU